GAUGAGUAUUGUUUAUUCAUUUUUUAAUGUCAUUUUUUGAAAUUUUGACAUAGAAUGCUAAUCAUGAUUUUUAUAGUUUCUUAAAUAGGCUGGAUAUCAUGGUGAAUAUCAGAAAAAAGGUUGUUGAUGAUUCCAAAGCUCCACGUAAAAAGAGAUUAGUACGAAAAACUACACAUGGACAACUUAAAGUAGCCAACACAUUUCAACAACAUUUUAACUCUCUGGAUGUUCCUACUAGUUCUUUCUACAGCAUGAAUAUGCAUAAGGAUCUCAUGAAAAAAAUAUUAUUCACUUGUUGAUUUACCAAAAAACUGUACAGUGAGGUCCAUCACUAACACAUUUACAGAUGAGGCAUCACAUGAGGUUACCCCAGAAGAUGAUGUAGACAUGAGUGGUAAUGAAAACCAAAGAACACAUGUGGAAGAUGCGAGUCUAUUGCAACAAAAUGUUACACUUCUGAAGGAGAGACUCAACAAGUUCAAAAGAAGAAGAAAGGCCCUACCCAAAUGAAGAAUUUGAACGAAGUCAUUGCUCCAAUUGAAGUAAAGUUUAAUGAAAUGGGACAAUCACUAUCUGUCACUUUAUCUUCGUUUCUGGGCCGUCUUGUGAGGGAGACUGUACCAUAUACUCUUGUUGACUGGCGAUACCUUUCAGAUGAUAUGAAACUUGUUAUGUGGAAAGAUAUUCAGGUACAUCCUUCAAAAUAAUUCGACGUUAUAUAAUAUAACGUAAUAAGUAUUUGAUAUUGUAUAAAAUUGAAAAUUUAUAACUUGCAGCAAAGGUUCAAAGUAGAUGAAGAAUGGCAAAAAGACUACAUUUUCAAAGAAAUGGGUGGUCUCUGGAGAGCGUCGAAGUCUCGACUUGUGAAAAAGAUUAGAGAAGCACCAAAUGAAGCUGAAAGAAAGAAACUCAAACCUCAUCAUAUACUUAAACCCCAGUAAUGGAAGAAGUUUGUGAAGGAAAAGACGAGUACAGAAUUUAUGGUAAAUUCUACCUUUUCCCUUUUUUUAGAUCAAAUUUAUCUAAGCUAUGAUUAAUUAUCAAUAAACUUAUAUAAG
rnacentral:lncRNA from 1 species